GACAGAGGGUGCAAACGUUGCUCGGAAUCACUGGGCGUAGAGGGCGUGUAGGCGGGACAGUAAGUCGGGCGUGAAAUCCCUGGGCUCAACCCAGGAACUGCACUCGAAACUACUAUUCUUGAGUGUCGGAGAGGAAAGCGGAAUUCCUGGUGUAGAGGUGAAAUUCGUAGAUAUCAGGAGGAACACCAGUGGCGAAGGCGGCUUUCUGGACGAUAACUGA
rnacentral:rRNA from 1 species